GCGCCAAGAUGGCGGCGCGCUGCCAGUACUCAACAUGGCGCCUGUGCCCGCGGUUGCAGCCGAAGUAAGAGUGUCGAUUUUUCCGUGGUUAUAUUACCUUAGCGGUGCUAAAAACGAGGGGAAAGCUCGUGCGCUGGCGGAUGAGAGGAGUGCAGUGCUGUAGGACUUACCAGGCCCAGCUCCCACAGUUUCUCCUCAGAGAGAUGCUCCAGACCCCUCAUCAUUUCUGUGGCCUCUCCUGGACCCUUUCCAGUAGCUCCUUGUCAUUCUUGUACUGCUUCUACACCUGGAAUGUCCUUCCUGGAUGACAUCUGAUAGCAACUGAUCUGCAAUUUUUGUGUAAUUCUGUUAAUGGGAAAAGGCACUGAGGAACUGCAGGAAUGAAUUGGCCUCCCUGUGAGUCACGAGGUCUUAAACUUAGAAAUUCAGCUGUGCAAUAAGCAUGUGAUCUCAUCAGCAUGCCAGGAGAAAUUCCCAGAGUGCCUGAUCCUCAGCAGUUGGUUGGAAGCACCCCCAGCCCAGGGUUGUUUUGUGGCUGGACGGAAUUGGCUGCGAGUCCUGGUAGGAAUGAGCUCAUCCCAAGGAGUGAGCUCUGCCUGGUGUCCCCUGACCUCUGUGGGAACAGCGUGUGUGCAGCCUGCAGAGCACUGAUUUCAUGGAAUACAUGUUUACCAGCUGCAGCCAAGAUUUAUUGCCCAAUUCUGAGUGCUGUGGGGUGGCCUGUGCAGUCACUGAGGUGAGGAGGCAUUUACAGCUGGCAGUGCCUUGCAGAACUGAUGUUCAGCCUGUAACAGUUUCUUCAGUUGCUUGCAACAAUUUGUUUUCACAGAGAAUGCUUAUUUCUCCAUUUUAUUCAGAGUGUAAAUGUUUCAGGUGCAGGGAUAAAUGUUACAUGGAGGGAUGGAGGCCAAAUACAUCAAGAGUGGCCCUAAAAGCAAGUAAUACCUUUAAGUGCUACCCUACUGUUGACAUAGGAAAGCUUUUAGGUGGUGAGGUUUUUGGGAAGUAGCUUUGCAAAGGUGGUAACUGUUACCUCCCCAGGGCACCUUAAAGCAGGAUGGUGCUUUCUUGUCUGAGGUUAUCAGGCUUGUUGUGAUGGUGGCUCAUGUAUCUGGUGUCCUGUGGGAAAAUGGCAUCCAUAGCUAAUGGAAAGCAGAGGGUGCUCUUGGCAAUAAAAUAUAUGGGACAUCUAAUUAUCUAAUGAUUAGAUAAUAAUUAUUAGAUAAUAGAUAAUAAUUAGAUAAGUAUGAUCUUAUACUGUGCACUGAAACAGAGACUCUUUGCACACUCUUCAGUUUGUAUAAGUUUUUGCUCUUUUUGUUUGAAUCCUUAAAUUGAAAAUAAUUCAGUCCAGGUAUUCUUAAGCUAGAAGAUGAAAUAGGAAUACUUGAAGUUUGUACCAAAGAUGUCUUUAAUAUUUCUGCAAAUGUUUCAAUUUCCAUGCAGUUCUCUGGUUUUCAUUGUGAAUAUGAAGAAAUAUGGGGGAAAAUUUAAUCUACUGCCUUUUGAUGAUGUGCAGAAGCACAACCAGUCCUGUAACAGAUGAGUAAGUUGGUUGCCCAGAGAGAUUGUAGAUCCCCAUCCCUGGAAGUGUCUAAAGCCAGGCUGGACAGGGCUUGGAGUAACCU